GGUGAUGUGGUGUAAUGGUAGCACGUGACGUUGUGGUUGAUUCUGCAAUAGAAACCGUUUCAAUCUGGGUUCGAUUCCCAGCAUCGCCA